UACGGAGGGGGCUAGCGUUGUUCGGAAUUACUGGGCGUAAAGCGCACGUAGGCGGCUUUGUAAGUCAGAGGUGAAAGCCCGGAGCUUAACUCCGGAAUUGCCUUUGAGACUGCAUCGCUUGAAUCCAGGAGAGGUGAGUGGAAUUCCGAGUGUAGAGGUGAAAUUCGUAGAUAUUCGCAAGAACACCAGUGGCGAAGGCGGCUCACUGGCCCGGUACUGACGCUGAGGUGCGAAAGCGUGGGGAGCAAACAGG
rnacentral:rRNA from 1 species